ensembl:lncRNA
CUGCUCCAGUUGCCAUGGAGACGGGAAGCUGAACAAUGAGGCUCCAAUCCAGCAUGUCAGGCGCUGGUGAAAGGCGCCCACCACACCCAGCCCCCACCCCCUUGCCCCGGACACCAGCCUGGACCUCCCAGGCCUCCCCAGGGAGGAGAGAGGAGCCAGCCAGCCCGGGGGGGGGGGUGAGGAGAGGGAGUGGAGAGCCCAGCCCCAUUACUCAAAAACUGGCCAAUGGGUUGCCUGGGAUUAAUGCUGGAAGAUCCCCUAGCGACCAUCUAGACGGUUUCUCCUUCUUCCCAUUUUACAGAAUGCCACCUCAGAGCAGGGAACAGAGAGCAGCGGAAAUGAGCGCCCUCUCCCCAUUCCCCCCAAAAAGAAAUAGGACGACCCUCGGAACAAAGGAUGUCAGAUGUGGGAAAGACCUUGGAACAGGGAGCAGAGAGGGUCAGAGCUGGACUUCCCACUACAAAGUCCCGAGGACGCAGGAGUCAGUGUCCUGGAAGAUCUCCAGGGAAGAGAAGCUGCCGCCUCCCAAGAGAAGCCCAUCCCACUUUCCUAGGGCUCUAUAAACUUGACUCGACUCUGCAUCUCCUUCCCUUUGCUCCCAGUGUCCCAGUUCUGGAACCAAGCAGAGUAAGUGAAUUCUCUUCCACAUGACCCACCUUCAAAUACUGGAAGGCUGCCACCAUGUUCAACUAAGUCAUUUUCUAGAAACAUUCAUUAUUAUUAUUGUUAUUAUUAUAUCCCCCUGGAGUCUUUUUGUCAGUCUAAACACUUCUAAUAUCUCCAACAGAUCCUCUAUGUAAAGGUUGUUAUUUUUUAAAUUUAAAUGUCCUCAAUUAACAAAAAUCCACCUGCUCCUCCCUCCCCAUCGGAAAAGAAAAACAGAAACCAUGUAACAAAACUUCACAAGCUACAAAUGCCCACAUUGGCUGUGUCCACGAAAUAUAUGUCUCAUCUGAAUUCUGAGCCCUCAUCUACCCAUCAUUCUAUCAGCAACCAAGCAGCUUGUUUCAUGAUCGGUCCUUUGGACUCCUGUUCCUCUUUAUGUCGAUCAGAGUUCUUAGAUCUUUCAAAGUGGUUUGUUUUUACACUGUAUGUCAUUGUAUAAAUGGUACUCACUUCACUCUGAAUCAGUAUGCAAAAAUCUCUCAUAUAGAUAGAUAGAUAGAUAGAUAGAUAGAUAGAUAGAUAGAUAGAUAGAUAGAUAAAAACAUUCAGCCAUUCCCAAGUAAUGGACAACUCCUUCAUUUCCAGGUGUUUGCCACCCCAAAAAGAGGGGCUCUGAGUGUAUUUGUACAGAUGGCUCCUUUUCCUCCUCCUUUGAUCUCAGGUAAAAGCCUAAGAGUUAACAGCUCCAUCAUCGUGCAUUAUCAUACAUUGAUAUGCCUUUUUUGCCAAAGUCCCUCCAACAUUUAUCAUUUGGUCAGUUUUCUCACUCUGAGAAGUGUGUGGUCUAAUCUAAGAGUUGCUUUAAUUUGCUCAUGAUUUGGAACAUUCUUUCAUGUAGCUUCAGCAGUUUAGAUUUCUUCUGAAAAUUUCCUGUUUAUAUCUUUGACCAUUUUUCAACUUAAGAAUAUAGGGUUUGUUUCAUCCUUGUCCCCCCAAUUCCAAGCCCACUUCAUGGUACAAAGUCGAUGCCUGAUGAAUCUUGGUUGAUUAAUUGAUGUGGCUGGAAGUCAAGACCCUUCAACACUCUGGUUGACCUCCUCUGGACACUCUCCAGCUCAUCAACGCCCUACCUACACCUUGGUGCCCAAACUGAACAUGGCACUCCAUGGAUAUAGUCCAAUGAGGGCAGAGCACAGUAAAACAGUCACCUUCCUCUGACUGGUAGCUUGGUCUCAAGAUGGCAUCAGCCUUCUUGUAGACCACAUCCCACCAAUGACCCCUACUGGGCCGCCCUUUGGACCUGACUGCAUUCCAUUCUUUCAUUUCAGUUCAGCAAACAGUAAAUACAGGUUCUUGUCAUGUGCACUGAGAGGACAAAGAUGACAAAUGUCACAGUCUUGACUUCAAGGAACAGAUGAAUGGCAGGGACACACACACUCACACAUACACACCAGAAUGGGAAAAAAAAAAGCUAGCACAGGAUGAGGGCAGCAAAGUAGUCUAUGACAAUCUGAGGAGAGAGAAAUGACUGUGUCCAUGAAGGAAUCAAGGAGGGCUUCUGGGGGAGGUCACACCUGGGCUGAACCAUGAAGGCAAAGACUGACAGGUAAAGCUGGGGCUGGGGAGAGGGACUGGCCAACUAGGUGUGCACAGAUAUAAGAGGGAAAUCCUCAGAACUGUCCGCGGUGUAAGAUGUAUGCAGUGGAGAGAGAAGGUUUGGUAGCAGGUUGCAGCCAGAGGCUGUGGGCAGGCCUCCAACGUCCCCCUGAGAGCCUCCAGUCUGCAAGCAAGCCCUGAAGGUUUCUGAGCAAGGAGGAGCUGGCCUAGGGACUCUCCACCUCCUGCCUCUCUGUACCAGUCAAAGCCCCCAGUGAGCUUGCUGAGCCCCACUCUCACCCCUUUCGUGACAUCCACCCCAGGGAUGGCAUCUACAGGGUCCUAAAUUCCUUUUUUGGUCACAUUUCCUAUUUUUAAUGGACUACACGGAACUCACCACUUAAAGGAACUCAGCUUAGGUGUCUUGCUGUAAAAGGAGUCCAAUAAAC